rnacentral:lncRNA from 10 species
CAAGACCAACCUGGGCAAUAUGGUGAGACCUUCCAUCUCUAUCAAAAAUACAAAAAUUAGCUGGGCUUGGUGGGGUGGCGCAGGCCUGUGGUCCCUGCUACUUGGGAAGCUGAGGUGCGUGGAUCACUGGAGCCAAGGAAGUCGAGGCUGCAGUGAGCCAUGAUAGCAUCAGCUGCACUCCAGCCUGGACAACAGAGGAAGACACUGUCUCUAAGUAAAUAAAUAAGUCAAUUUACAAUUAAUGUGGUAAAGAUUACUGAUGAUGCCACUGGCCUUGGCCAAUCAGAGAAUGUAGUCAUCUGACUCACCCAUCCUGCAAAUGACCUUGCAGACAGCAUACGUUUUAAACUAGCCAUUAAACCUGCCUGUGACCUUGUCAGCCUCCACCACGUUCAUCUGGAUGGAUGCAUGGUUCUUGGCACCGGUGACGCGGUUACUAGCAGAGACUUUCUGCCGCAUGUACAGGUC